rnacentral:rRNA from 1 species
CCUACGGGAGACAGCAGUGAGGAAUAUUGGUCAAUGGGCGCGAGCCUGAACCAGCCAAGUCGCGUGAGGGAAGACGGUCCUAUGGAUUGUAAACCUCUUUUGUCGGGGAGCAAAAGACGCCACGCGUGGCGUUCCGAGAGUACCCGAAGAAAAAGCAUCGGCUAACUCCGUGCCAGCAGCCGCGGUAAUACGGAGGAUGCGAGCGUUAUCCGGAUUUAUUGGGGUUAAAGGGUGCGCAGGAGGAAGAUCAAGACAGCGGUAAAAUUGAGAGGCUCAACAUCUUCGAGCCGUUGAAACUGGUUUUCUUGAGUGAGCGAGAAGUAUGCGGAAUGGGGGGUGUAGCGGUGAAAUGAAUAGAUAUCACGCAGAACUCCGAUUGCGAAGGCAGCAAACGGGCGCUAAACUGACGCUCAUGCACGAAAGGGUGGGUAUCGAACAGGAUUAGAUACCGUAGUAGU